CGGCCGCUGCCACUGCCCGGAGAUGGCCGGCAGAGCCGCCGAGACGCCGAAGAGCCCGCCGCCCGCGCGAGUUGCCAUGUGGAACUUCCUGUGCAUUUGGGUGAGAACAGCCGCAAAUCCUGAAGAGCCUUGUGGAGGAAUCUUUUCCUCUUAUGUGAAGAAAAAUAAACAAUAUUUUUUUUUGG
rnacentral:sRNA from 1 species